GGGGGGAUAGCUCAGUGGUAGAGUGCAUGCAAAGCAUGGGUUCAAUCCCCAGUACCUCCA
rnacentral:tRNA from 1 species